CCACGGAAUUAGAAUAGAGGGAAAGGCAACUGCCUCUUCGGCAUAGGAAAUAUGUGCCGUGCACUUGAUGUUGCGAGAAACUACGAGAAAGCAUGAGAAUUUACGUGAUUCGGGGAAAAAACCCGCCGCUUCAAACAUCGAAGAAAUUGAUUGCCGUUCAGAAGUAACAUAUUUUGGGCUAUCACUACCGUUACAUUGUCCGGAGUUCAAACAUGCCAAAGAAGAAGAAACCUUAACACAAAUCAACAGCAGAAGAGUGUUUCAUCGGAUGUAUGCAAAUUAAUAUGCUUCAAAGCCUUACAAGUUUAAUACAAAAUUCCACACCAGAAGAAUGAUUUUUUAAAUCAAAUAACCAUGCAGUUCAUUUUUAUCAGAGUUAACAUUGAAUUAUAAAAGAAUUUGUAUAUCACCACUCAUGCUUGUUACAUAUAUGUCACCUGUGAGUAAUAAAAAACAGUUAUAUUU